rnacentral:rRNA from 1 species
UGGGGAAUCUUGGACAAUGGGGGCAACCCUGAUCCAGCCAUGCCGCGUGGGUGAAGAAGGCCUUAGGGUUGUAAAGCCCUUUCAGUCGUGACGAUGAUGACGGUAGCGACAGAAGAAGCCCCGGCUAACUCCGUGCCAGCAGCCGCGGUAAUACGGAGGGUGCGAGCGUUAAUCGGAAUUAUUGGGCGUAAAGCGCGCGUAGGCGGUUUUGUAAGUCGGAUGUGAAAGCCCCGGGCUUAACCUGGGAAUUGCAUUCGAUACUGCAUAACUAGAGUACGGUAGAGGGAAGUGGAAUUCCGGGUGUAGCGGUGAAAUGCGUAGAUAUCCGGAGGAACACCAGUGGCGAAGGCGACUUCCUGGGCCAGUACUGACGCUGAGGUGCGAAAGCGUGGGGAGCAAACAGGAUUAGAUACCCCCGUAGUCC